rnacentral:rRNA from 1 species
GACGAACGCUGGCGGCGUGCUUAACACAUGCAAGUCGAACGGAAAGGCCCUGCUUUUGUGGGGUGCUCGAGUGGCGAACGGGUGAGUAACACGUGAGUAACCUGCCCUUGACUUUGGGAUAACUUCAGGAAACUGGGGCUAAUACCGGAUAGGAGCUCCUGCUGCAUGGUGGGGGUUGGAAAGUUUCGGCGGUUGGGGCUGGACUCGCGGCUUAUCAGCUUGUUGGGGGGGUAGUGGCUUACCAAGGCUUUGACGGGUAGCCGGCCUGGGAGGGUGACCGGCCUCCUUGGGCCUGCGGUACGGCCCAGUCUCCUACGGGAGGCAGCAGUGGGGAAUAUUGCACAAUGGGCGGAAGCCUGAUGCAGCGGCGCCGCGUGCGGGAUGACCGCCUUCGGGUUGUAAACCGCUUUCGCCUGUGACGAAGCGUGAGUGACGGUAAUGGGUAAAGAAGCACCGGCUAACUACGUG